UGCGCAGGCGGUUAUAUAAGACAGAUGUGAAAUCCCCGGGCUCAACCUGGGACCUGCAUUUGUGACUGUAUGGCUGGAGUACGGUAGAGGGGGAUGGAAUUCCGCGUGUAGCAGUGAAAUGCGUAGAUAUGCGGAGGAACACCGAUGGCGAAGGCAAUCCCCUGGACCUGUACUGACGCUCAUGCACGAAAGCGUGGGGAGCAAACAGGAUUAGAUACCCUGGUAGUCCACGCCCUAAACGAUGUCAACUGGUUGUUGGGUCUUCACUGACUCAGUAACGAAGCUAACGCGUGAAGUUGACCGCCUGGGGAGUACGGCCGCAAGGUUGAA
rnacentral:rRNA from 1 species